rnacentral:rRNA from 1 species
CGUGGAUUAGGCAUGCAAGUCGAACGAAUGUCAGUUGUGUAGCAAUACAUGGCUGGCGGAAGUGGCGAAAGGGGCAGUAAUGCGUGGGUAACCUACCUUGGGGAUGGGCAUAGCCGUUCUAACGAGCGGGUAAUUCCCAGAGAUUCAGCGAGGCGGCAUCGUCUUGCUGGGAAAUGAGUUUCGCCUCGAGAGGGGCCCACGUGCUAUUAGCUAGUUGGUGAGGUAACGGCUCACCAAGGCUAAGAUGGCUAGCGGGUGUGAGAGCACGACCCGCGCCACUGGCACUGAGACACUGGCCAGACACCUACGGGUGGCUGCAGUCGAGGAUCUUCGUCAAUGGGCGCAAGCCUGAACGAGCGACGCCGCGUGCGCGAUGAAGGCCUUCGGGUUGUAAAGCGCGAAAGUGGAGAGAAAGGGCAACUUGAUCAAUCCACAGUAAGGACGGGCUAAGUUCGUGCCAGCAGCCGCGGUAAGACGAACUGUCCUAACGUUGUUCGGAAUCACUGGGCUUAAAGGGCGCGUAGGCGGUCCGACAAGUCAGGGGUGAAAUCUUGCAGCUCAACUGCAAAAGUGCCUUUGAUACUGUCGGUCUUGAGGAGAUAGGGGUGUGCGGAACUUCCAGUGGAGCGGUGAAAUGCGUUGAUAUUGGAAGGAACGCCGGUGGCGAAAGCGGCGCACUGGAUCUCUUCUGACGCUGAGGCGCGAAAGCU